GAUGAACGCUAGCGGGGGGCCUAACACAUGCAAGUCGAACGAACCUUCGGGUGAGUGGCAAACGGGUGCGUAACACGUGCUUAAUCUGCCCUAGAGUGGGGGACAACAUCGGAAACGGUGCUAAUCCCGCAUACGCUCUCAUGAAUGAAAAUAGUGAGAGGAAAGAUUUAUCGCUCUAGGAGGAGGGCGCGGCCUAUUAGCUAGUUGGUAAGGUAAUGGCUUACCAAGGCUAUGAUAGGUAGCUGGUCUGAGAGGAUGAUCAGCCACAAUGGAACUGAGACACGGUCCAUACCCCUACGGGGGGCAGCAGUGGGGAAUCUUGCACAAUGGACGAAAGUCUGAUGCAGCCACCCCGCGUGGAGGAUGAAGCAUUACGGUGUGUAAACUCCUUUUCUGGAGGAAGACGACUGACGGUACUCCAGGAAUAAGCGACGGCUAACUACG
rnacentral:rRNA from 1 species